GACGAACCGUGCGAACGUUGUUCGGAAUCACUGGGCUUAAAGGGCGCGUAGGCGGGUUUGCAAGUCUGCGGUGAAAGCCUCCAGCUUAACUGGAGAAGUGCCGUGGAUACUGCGAAUCUUGAGGAGGGUAGGGGCAUCUGGAACGGUCGGUGGAGCGGUGAAAUGCGUUGAUAUCGACCGGAACUCCGGUGGCGAAGGCGAGGUGCUGGACCCUUUCUGACGCUGAGGCGCGAAAGCCAGGGGAGCAAACGGG
rnacentral:rRNA from 1 species